rnacentral:rRNA from 1 species
AUACGGAGGGUGCAAGCGUUACUCGGAAUCACUGGGCGUAAAGUGCGCGCAGGCGGCUAUUUAAGUUGGAUGUGAAAGCCUACGGCUCAACCGUAGAACUGCAUCCAAAACUAUUUAGCUAGAGUGUGGGAGAGGAAGAUGGAAUUAGUUGUGUAGGGGUAAAAUCCGUAGAGAUAACUAGGAAUACCAAAAGCGAAGGCAAUCUUCUGGAACACUACUGACGCUGAGGCGCGAAAGCGUGGGGAGCAAACAGGAGUAGAUACCCUAGUAGUCC